rnacentral:rRNA from 1 species
UACGUAGGAGGCAAGCGUUGUCCGGAAUCAUUGGGCGUAAAGAGCGCGUAGGCGGUCCGGUAAGUCCGCUCUGAAAGUCCGGGGCUCAACCCCGGGAGGCGGGCGGAUACUGUCGGGCUAGAGUCCGGAAGAGGCGAGUGGAAUUCCUGGUGUAGCGGUGAAAUGCGCAGAUAUCAGGAGGAACACCUGUGGCGAAAGCGGCUCACUGGACCACAACUGACGCUGAUGCACGAAAGCUAGGGGAGCAAACAGG